rnacentral:pre_miRNA from 1 species
GCAACAUUCAGACCGUCGGUCUACCGAGCAGUUUCACCCGCUUGAUGGAAGAUCUUCCCUUACGUUGU